rnacentral:lncRNA from 1 species
CAGCUUGAAGGGAGCGACCCUCACAAGCAUGUGCGAAUGAGCACAAAUGGCAAACAAGCAUAAUCAUCGUCUCAAGUACCCAAUCAUCAUGUCUCUAACAUGGUAAUAGUCACUAGCAUCUCAACGAUCUAGCUCUAGGUCACAAUGUGAAGUUCCAAUAUUCACUAUGCUUAGUGCCUCUUUAUGACACUUAAGCUUAUUAUAAGGUAAGCACAUUUCAUAUUCUAUGAUCCAUUCAUGACAUUAGUACUAGGUUCUCAUCUAACCCGAGCUCAAUGCCCCUUUAUGACAUUAGCUCACUAAUUCACAAGUCAAAUUAGUCCAAUGCCGCUUUAUGGCAUUAUAAUAGUUUCAAUAUCCAAUUGAGGUCUAAGUCCAUAGGCACUUUACAUAUGUCAUUUCUACUAUGUAAACAUGAACCCAAGUCUCUCAUAAGAAUGCUCAUGCACACAUACGCCUCACAUGCAAGUUCUCUAUUUCAUAGAGGUCCGAAAAUACAAUGUAUGAAACAUAGGCAUUUUAAGCAUUCUAAAAUUCAUAAAUAAUAUAUCUAACAUGAUUAUGCAUGCUUUUUCAUUUAACGAUACUCAAUUCAUCACAAAUGAGAUUUUCUCAUUGUGUGGCUAGGUCAAACCCACCGAACCGUCUCGGAAUCCUUCGUUUCGCCGAACGGAGUUGUCCACAAGUCUCUAAGUACCCUAAAAGUAAGGAGCGAAGAGAUAAAUAAACGUUACGAACAACUCUAGGCUCAAACAUUAACCACCACAAGCAAAGGGGCAAAAACUCACCUAGGGAGUAGAAAAUCUCUCUCAAGCUCCAAAAGAGAGCUAGAAUCCUUCCAAUCCAACCCAAAGAAAGAUUCUAAACCAAAAAAUUGAGCCUCAAAGGCCCUAGAUCAAGAACGCCCAAAAUCAACCCUAAAAUUCCAUUCUAGGGUUUCAUCUCCUAAAAACCAACAAAUCAAGGUCUAGAGAGAAGAAAUGAGCAACUAACCUCCUUAGAGGCUCCAAUCCAAGCUCCAAGGGUGAAGAUCUCCUCUCUUGCAAGCUCCAAGUCCAAGCCUUCAAGCACCAACAAGGUGGGAAGAGAAUGAGAGGAAAAGAAAUGCUCCAAGUCCUCAAGCUAGAUCCUCCUCCUCCUCUUCUCCUUCUUCUUCUUCUUCUCCUUCUCUAUCUAAGGUGUUGGGAGAGUGAGAGGAAGAGAAAUGAGAGAAGGAAGAGGGAGAAAUGGCCAUAUAGGCCAUCAAAUGUAACAAAAUCCAAAGAGGCCCCUCAAUUUUUCAAUAUUGCAUCAGCCCGGUCUGGGCAGUUUUCGGACUGAGGGACCGGUCUCCCCGACAUGGGACCGGUCUCUCAGCCUGCCCCGAAAAUCCAACGUUCGGGAACCGGUCUCUCCCUGCGCGGGACCGGUCUCUCCCCGCGUGGACGCGCUCGGGGACCGGUCUCACCCGCCAGGGACCGGUUGCCCCAAGGCUGCCGCAAUACUGUUCACUGGGGGACCGGUCUCUCCUAUCAGGGACCGGUCCCCGAGAGUAAAAACUCUCAGGACUCGUCCAGAACUCAGGUUUUCGAACUUUUUAG